AGAGUGAUGUUCUUGAGCAGGAAAGCAGCAGGUCCCUACUUGGAAUAGCUUGGCGCAUACAGUGCUAAGUCCGGGGGUAAGUAAGAGUUGUAAUCUAGCUCAUCAUUAUUGCUGGAACUUGUAGUGUAGCAAAAAGCUGAGUCUUGUCAAAAGGAGGAGAGACUUUUCCUUCCACAAUGCUAUUGCAUAGAGACGGAAGCCCUGAUGAGUGGGCUUUGAUAACUGCACAGGGGAAGGAGUUCACCUUUAAUAUACUAACAGAAGUGAAGGUGAUGUAUGCAGGCAUGGAUGUGAGGGCAGGUAACGGGGCUUUAUUUCUCAGCAAAUUUGGAAACAAGUUCAUUAACUAAAAGUGAGUAUGGGGAAGAGAUGCUGCACAUUUCAAAAAACAGAAAAGUUACAGAAUAGACAUCCGGGAGAGUAUGAAAGAGAAGGGAAUAAAGACACGAAUUACCUUAAAGAUUAAAGAGGAUUUAAAAUGAGAUCAUGUAGCAUGGUUGUGUGUUUUUCUCCAUUCAUGUCACUGCUCAGCUUCAAGACUUGAUUAGUAAAAAGUCCAAUUUAGAGUUAUGGCUUUGUCAAGUUGGGUGAGAAAAUUAAAGAAGAGUGGUGUAGUUGAGGAUGUAUAUACGGGAGUCAUUAAAACACCUUACCAUGGAAUGUAUGCUUGAUUUUGAUGGAAGAGAAAAAUAUAAGGUUGUUGAGGGAAAGUGAAAAUAUUGUGAGAUCAAUACAUGCACUUCCCAGUGGCAUGAGGGCUUAUCACAGUAGGGCUGCCCGAGACAGUGAACUACAAGCAAGAAGUCAGGAAGUUGAGCUGCCAGAGUAUGAUGCAUGAAAUUGAGAUGGUGGAGGAGUGGCUAUUAAAGGUAAUAGCAGGAUCUAGGUUAUGACUAUCAGACUGAGUGUCUGGAGGAGUUUGCAAGACAAGUCCACAGUAGUUCAGGAAACUGAGAGGCCAAAAUGUGGUUAGGAUGUUUGCUGUCUCUGAGAAUUGAAACUAUCAAAAUUCUGACAGCAAAAGGGAUAGUGAGGCAGGAGCUAAAAAUGCCACGAAUUGAGGAGAGACCUGGAGGUCAGUAAAGGAUGCAGUAAUGAGGGAUCCUGAAUGAUACCACUAAUAACAAGGGAUUAAUAUUUCUGUACUGAGUGGAGAAUAGACUGGAGGGAGCAAUGAAGACCAGGGAGCAAAAAAACUCAGCCUACUUCCAGGCUUAGUGAUAAGAGAAUUAUAGAAAAAAUAAAAUAAAACAGGCCCCAAAUCCUCUACCACUUGGGAGCACUGCAGGCAAAGCAAGAAGUAUCCUCAAGGAAGAUCGGGGUAUCCGUUACAGCAAACUUGUGAAGGGCACUUUGAGUGAAAAGGUUGAAGAAAGAGAAAUUUUCUGGCAAUGAAACUUCAUUUCAGCACAGUAUAUAUCCAAUAGUGGCAAUCUCUAGGGAAUGAGGAAAGGCAGAAGCGAAGAUAAAAGUUUCCUAUUUUUCACUUUAAUUAAAUGUUUUAUUUUAGAAAAAAUGCUUUCUGCUCUAGUUUUUUAAACAUAUUGAACGUCUUUUGAAUGUCAAUACACACAAAAAUACGAACAGAAUAAAUGAGUUUACCCAGAAAAACAUUCCGGAGCAGUAGUGCCAAUGACUUGUGAUAUUUAUGGAUUGUUCGCUAUGUGCAAUUCAGACUGGGUCUUGAGCAAAGUCCCUUGAAGUCUUUCUUCUCAUCCUAUGUUCAUUCUAUUUAAUGCCUUUCCUUUUUGGUUUGGUGGUGAUAAUGAUUACUGUUUGGCACUUGCUGCCUUCCUGUUGCCACCAUUACCGUUACAUACUGUGUUGCAAAGAGGCUAGAAAAUGGUAGUGCUGAGCUGACUUCAGCCGAGGACAUAGGUAGUGCAGUGAAAUAAUGUCUUUUUAGAUCAACUGAUAACUAACAUUUGUGAAUUCUUUGCUCAGUAAUCUAGCAGAAGUUUUAAUGCACCUCGAUUAAUGUAUUUUAAAUUUAGCCCUUUACCUAAUAUGUGUUAUUAUCCUGAUGUGUAUCCACUUUCCAGUUUUACUCUAUUUUUAUAUGUUCCCUACUUAACACAACCGUUCAAUCAAUGGUUUUGCUAUAUAAUGGCAUAGUAAAUUUAAGUUUCUGAAUUAUAUGACUCAUCUAACUUUGACAUAUUUAGUCAGUGUAAGUUUGAAAAGCCAGUAUUCUAUGAAAUCAUGGUUUUACAUGGACUCUAAAUUAUGUUCAUGAAGGUUGCUAGAAAAUACUUUACAAAGGAGAAAAUUUAACAGUUAAUAUUGGGAAAUGUAGAAAAAGCUUUUGGGAAAAACUUUAGAGUGAUCUUGAAAAUAUGUAGAUAUUUAUCAGAUUGUUUGGAAUCUGUGGUAUUCCAAGAGGAUGGAGGAGCAUAUUUAACGAUGAGAAAGAAAACAUCAUGAUAUACUUAGGGAAAUCAUUCU
rnacentral:lncRNA from 1 species